GACGAACGCUGGCGGCGUGCUUAACACAUGCAAGUCGAACGAACAGGCCCUGCGUUUGUGGGGUUCACGAGUGGCGCACGGGUGAGUAAAACGUGUGUAACCUGCACUUGUAAUUGGGAUAAAUUUAGGAGAAUCGGGCUCAUAUAGGAUAGAAGAUACUGCUGCGUGGUGGGGGUUGGAGAGUUUCGGCGGUUGGGGAUGGUCUCGCGGCUUAUCGGCUUGUUGGUGUGGUAGUGGCUUACCAAGGCUUUGACGGGUAGCCGGCCUGAGAGGGUGACCGGCCACAUGGCGACUGCGAGACGGCGCAGACUGCUACCGGCGGCAGCAGGGGGGAAUAUUGCACAAUGGGCGGAAGUGUGAUGCAGCGACGCCGCGUGCGUAAUGACCUCUUACGGGUGGUAAACCGCUUUCUCCUUUGACAAAGCGGGAGUGACGGUAAUUGGUAAAGAAGCACCGGCUAACUACGUG
rnacentral:rRNA from 1 species